UCUUUAUCCCUCCCUGUUGCUUCUUUUCCUCUCUGUUAGCAAGUCCGGAGCAGGGUUGCUGGGAUGAGAUCGAAGCAUGACACUGCUCGUACCCGUUGACCAAGUCAUAGAGCGAGCAAGGUAUCUGCUCAGUCCUCCUGAGACUCAGUUGGCUUACCAGAAGAGGCACACAUGAAGAGCUUCAUUGAAUUACUGAAGAUAAGGUCCCUGGUCAAGCAGCAGGAUUGAGGAAGGGCUGGAAGAAAGGACUUGCCCUGGACUCAGGAACAUGCUCUGCAAAGAGCCUUUAGAGCUGCUCCUUCCAUCCCAUCGUCCAGAAUUUAGUUUCAUGGCCUCCCAUAGCUGCUGAGGAACCUGAGAGAGGAAGGCUCUAUUCUAGCUGGUCAGGUAUGUCAGCUCAAUGUCAAGGGUUUUAUUACUGUAG
rnacentral:lncRNA from 1 species